CUACUCAGCGAUUAAAUUUUGUUUUGCUCUGACUUUCAUUGCUGGUUUUGGAAUACCUCGAAGUUGUGCCUAACAAACUGAAGUGUUAAUUUUUUUACAUAUUUUACACGCUUGCACUGAACCAAGUGACACUUAUAAUUAGGUUCAACGGUUUAUUCAGCUGUAAAGUUAAGAUGGGUAACUGUUUAUCAGGUGGAGAGCCUACACACAGAAGGAGUGGUGGUGGUGGGAAUGGUGGUGCUAAACAAACUAAGAUUCGUACACACAUGCUCUUUCCACCAAAGACAUCUUCUGGUGCCAGUCCAAGAUCAUCACCACAGUCACCAAGGAAACUCUGAUGGUGUUCUAGCAAAAUUUAAAGAUCUAAGCUUGCUGCUUGUAGCUAUAUGCUUCUACAGCUACUAUAGGAUACAUUGGAUAGAAGCAAAUUUACCAAUUACUUCAUCUGAAGAAUAAAAGAGGAAAAUUCAAUGUGGUAAGUCUGUAGCUCAUUGACAACAAGCAGUGGAAAUGUGUCAUCACCAUGGCAACAAUAAUUGAACAACUCAUGCGAAUAGUUUACACUCUUGGUCUUCAAUUCUGAUAUUACUCUGUUUAUAAGGAGUGUAUUCUUCAGGGAGUCGCUGUGGAGCAACCUAAAAGUCAUGAACAAAAACACAAAACAUACGGUAAUAAUGCAUAGAUUGAAAUAUGUACAUGCAUAUCUGGAGUGUACAGAAAUGUAAUGUAUCCCAUUAGUCAUUUUGUGUUUUAUUUGAAUUUAAAUGUUACGCAAAUAACUUAUGAUAAUUAAUGUUAGAAGAGUAGCUUCCAAUCUGUGUUUGUAGUAUAAUGUGCAUUAAAUUUAUUUGUUUUGUAUAUCAGAGCAAUAAUGAAUGGAAGGCAGCUUUAAAGAGAAACUAUGUCCUGUAAUUCUCCUUCAAAGCUUUCAAUUAUAGAUAAUAAUACAUGUAUAUAUCCUCUUCAUAAAUAACAAAGUCUGUUCCAAUAUAAUAGAUGAAUAACAUACAAAAUCUCCAGGGAUUUUUUCAGUGGUGAAGGUUGUUUUCUGAGAGCAGUCAGUAGUAGCUACAGGUUAGUGAGCAUGGUUGUAACUUGAAGCUUGUUAUUUCACAGCUUUGAAUACUCCAAACUCUGAGGCCAGAAUUCACAAAGGUGAUUUUGAAGACCAUCGGUUGAAACCAUGGUUUAUGCAGAGUUCCUGUAUAAAUUAUGCUCAAUUUUCGGCUUUAUUUCAGCGUAUUUUUAGCUUUCCUCCAUACAAAAGUACAUGUAUGAGAGCUUUUAAUUUCAGCUUUUUCCAACACAUUUCAGCUGUUUUGAAUUGAAAAAAAAGAUUGUUAUCCGGAAUAUUUAUUAAUCCAAAAACUAAAUAAGGCUUAUGGCUUAUCAUUCUGAAGAGUUGACAAAUAAAAAAUAAUGUAAGCUUUGUAUCUUUAGUUCAUUAAUUUGUUAUUUUGGCAGUAAUGUGCCUAAUUUUAUUUUUGUACUUAUUGUCAGUUGAUGGAUAUUAUGAGAGAGGCAGUGUGCUUUUUCGAAAAAAAAAAUUGAAAUGACCAAAAAAUUACCAUCCAUUUACGUUCCAUUGAAAAGUGUAAUAUUGGGAAAUUUAUGGAGAAUCAUUUGUAACAUAACAUAUCUUAUUCAUAAGAGUGUGGAAUAGUGUACAGGUUUAUAUUCAUCAAGUAAAGUAUAUAUUUCAAUAAUUUACCUUGUCCAUUGUAAGCUUGCUAUACCUUAAUUCUGAGAUAUUGUAAAAAAAAAAUAAUUGAAUGAAAUCCAGUAAUUAGAUUCAUGUGUAUUUUUAGGUUAUUUGUGAUUGUUCGUUUUACCUGUAACCUUUGAAAAUAGAAGUCUUUGGUUUAUAAUUUACCUAACAUUCCUAACACUAUUACAUAUUCUUGGACUUGACUUACAUGUAAUAAUUCUGACAAUUUCCUUCUACAGUAUGAAAUUCAAUUCGUAUUUGCAUUAACAUUCAUUGUGUGUAUAUGCAUACAUUCACUUCAUGUAUGAGAGUGGUUAAUACCUGUAAUGCUGUAAAGGGACAUUUUGGAUUAAUAUCAAACCUAUUAUUAUCUAAUCCAUUGGUGGUGUGUGCAUGCCUUGAUAUGUGAAGAAUAUUAUCCUAAAGGAGCUAAAUCCAUUUUAAUAAUAUUUACCUUAAUUCAUCACCUUCAUUAUACUAUCAUGGAAUUAAUAUCACAAUAGAUUUUGAAUUAUUAUUAAAUCAGAUGUACCUUUCAAACCCAUCAUUAUCUCUUUUUCAAAGAAACCGGACAAAACACUUACAAGCCUGGAUAAAAUCUAUAGGCUUUAAUAGGCUAUAGACUAGUUAUAUUUUUGAAAUCAUAAUUUCAAUUCAGACAUCUCAAAAAAGGGUAUUUUCCUUGAUGAGCCAUAUACCAAUAAGGGCUUAUUUAUCAUUCUCCGUCUCAAUGCGCUUGCUUAAAGUUCCUUUUCCCGGACAUAUCUGUUCUUAUUGUUGGAUGUGUCAUGUUUAUUUGAUGAGUAUUGUUUCAAAUCUUGAAUCAAAUAUUGUAGUGGUGACAAAGAAAAACUGAGAUCAAAUUGUGAAAAGGUGCACAAUUCUACAGAAAACAGAGAAAGAAAAACAUUCCUUCAAGAAAUCAAAUGGUGUACUCUGCUGCCAUGUUGUUUUAGUCGUAAUUCAUUAAUAUAUUUUUUUUAUUAAAUCUAGCAUGUGUAUAUUUUAUAUAUUUGUAUUGAAAGCAGUACUAUUAUUUAAGAAUUUGUUUGUUUUUAGUCUUUGAUUUUUUUUGGCAUGGAAUUUACUUUAUGCCAUUUGACCACCCCGUGGACCGAUAUGGGUUAAAACUUGGUAUUCAGACCUCUUUUUUCAAAAGAAAAAUCUACAUUUGCUACUCUUGAUCAAGGUUUACAUGUUCGAUUAUACUUGGGUAAUGAAAAUCAACUAGAAGAGCUUUCCUAACUUGUAAAGCCAUUUUGGCUCAAGAUGAAUUGGCUAGGUGUGUGAGAAAAUAUGUAUGAUACUGAACUCAAAUUAUGUUCACUUGGUUUGAUAAAUGUUAUAUUUCAGGAAUUGUUCAAAACUCUGUCUUUGAUUGAAAUUUGUGAUAUAAUGGCAAAUAAGUUGAAUAGUAAAUAAUUGUUUAAAGACUGCUACAAGAAUUCACACUUUUUUCAGUGCUACAUGUACAAAUGUUAAUAUUUCUUUGUAUCAAAAACUGAUCAGUGAACACUGCAGGUUUCCAUGAAUUCCAUCCAAAAUGAACUACUAGUAUUAGUAUAUGACGUUUAUUAUUUGACUAGUAUAAGGCAACGACUUGUAAUCUGGCUACGGUGCUGUUUUCAAGUUGGGCAUCCCUGAUAUUGGGAGCAAAUUUAUACUACAUAUUGACUGUUGACUCUUGGUUCAAUGAUUAAUGUAUUGAUGGCAGACUGCUGUCUUCAAGUUUGAAGACAGCUCUAGUUGUUUUUCUGCAACUCAAUUUGUUGUCAAUUACUGGAAUCUCAGUAAUGGAUGUGUAAUAUGAAAAACAAUCUGUGGUCAUGAUCCAGUGUACAUGGUGAAGAUCUGCCCAAAUGGUAUAACUGUAAUGCUUGAGUGAAUUAUCAUUUAGAAUUACCCCAGCCAUGUCCGCGCCCAUGAAUUUCUAGACUAUUAUUUAACCUGCAUGUAGUCAAUUCAUUGUAGUGAUUAUAUCUAAAGUGGUUGUUUUCUCAAAUUUGUCGAUAUUACUGUUAUUUUGAUAUUUUUUAUUUCUUAUUUUGUAUUAUCUCAUUUUAUGAAUUAAUAUAUAUAUUUUUAUCAUAAUUGAUUUGUAGUACAUGAAGGGUUGUAAACUAAAAUUUGAGUUAUCCUGGAUAAUUCCAGCAGAAUCAAUUUGUUGUCAACCAAUAUAAUUUUCCAAUGAUACUCUACAUGUACAUUGGCCAUGUCUGCAUAAUAGGCUUCAUGUAUGCUGCCAGGAGAGAAGAUAAUCUGUAAUUUCACGUACAUUUUGGCAUUCAUGUGAUUUCUUAUCACUACUUCAUGUUUUGAAGUGUUUGUCAUGUUAUUUUCAUUUGUAAUCUACAACCACUUCAAGUAAAGUAGGAACAUGUAUAUGCAGAGAUAUGUUUUUAUGAAAAGAAAGUUAAUCAAAUUUGAAAUACGCAGCUUGUGGUUUACAUGUAUUUGAUCAAUACGUUUCAUUUUAUUAUUAUCAAUUUUUGUGUAAUGUUAAUUCAGAAUACUUCUUAAAUCUUGUAUUGGUACAUGAAUUUAAUAUGUCCUAAGCAAUCUACACAAUAUAUACUAUUUAGUUUAGACGCUAUAAAUUUAGAAGAAUGCUUGCCUUUUAUAUUUUCCAAAGAAUCUGUUGUUGGUUCACAUGGUAUUUUUAUUCUAUUUUGACGUGUCGUAAACACUUUCAAAAAGUGUACAUUAACUAUAAGAUGUUGACGAUGCUUACUUUAUAUAUAUAUAUUUGUUUGUACAUCCUAUAUUUCAUUUUAAGUAAGAAUCCUUGCUUUUUCUUAAUUUAUGUUGUGAACAUUGCCAGAUAUAUUUUAAAGAAAAUAAAAACGCUCAAUAGUAGAAGGUGUGUAAUGUAUUCAUGCAGGUGUGAUAUAUUUAUCUUACCGGAACAAAAAUUAAAUUUAUGUAUAAACUUGGGAUUUAAAUUCCAUCUUCCAAUUUAGAUGUGCUAACAAUGCGAUAUAUUAAUAGUUAAAUAUUAUUACUGACAACAUGAUGUAUUUAGAACAAUAUUCCAUUUAUUAAAUAAUAAUGUUUAAAAAAGAA